AGAGUUUGAUCCUGGCUCAGGAUGAACGCUAGCUACAGGCUUAACACAUGCAAGUCGAGGGGCAGCAUGGUCUUAGCUUGCUAAGGCCGAUGGCGACCGGCGCACGGGUGAGUAACACGUAUCCAACCUGCCGUCUACUCUUGGACAGCCUUCUGAAAGGAAGAUUAAUACAAGAUGGCAUCAUGAGUCCACAUGUUCACAUGAUUAAAGGUAUUCCGGUAGACGAUGGGGAUGCGUUCCAUUAGAUAGUAGGCGGGGUAACGGCCCACCUAGUCUUCGAUGGAUAGGGGUUCUGAGAGGAAGGUCCCCCACAUUGGAACUGAGACACGGUCCAAACUCCUACGGGAGGCAGCAGUGAGGAAUAUUGGUCAAUGGGCGAGAGCCUGAACCAGCCAAGUAGCGUGAAGGAUGACUGCCCUAUGGGUUGUAAACUUCUUUUAUAAAGGAAUAAAGUCGGGUAUGCAUACCCGUUUGCAUGUACUUUAUGAAUAAGGAUCGGCUAACUCCGUGCCAGCAGCCGCGGUAAUACGGAGGAUCCGAGCGUUAUCCGGAUUUAUUGGGUUUAAAGGGAGCGUAGAUGGAUGUUUAAGUCAGUUGUGAAAGUUUGCGGCUCAACCGUAAAAUUGCAGUUGAUACUGGAUGUCUUGAGUGCAGUUGAGGCAGGCGGAAUUCGUGGUGUAGCGGUGAAAUGCUUAGAUAUCACGAAGAACUCCGAUUGCGAAGGCAGCCUGCUAAGCUGCAACUGACAUUGAGGCUCGAAAGUGUGGGUAUCAAACAGGAUUAGAUACCCUGGUAGUCCACACGGUAAACGAUGAAUACUCGCUGUUUGCGAUAUACUGCAAGCGGCCAAGCGAAAGCGUUAAGUAUUCCACCUGGGGAGUACGCCGGCAACGGUGAAACUCAAAGGAAUUGACGGGGGCCCGCACAAGCGGAGGAACAUGUGGUUUAAUACGAUGAUACGCGAGGAACCUUACCCGGGCUUAAAUUGCAGAUGAAUUACGGUGAAAGCCGUAAGCCGCAAGGCAUCUGUGAAGGUGCUGCAUGGUUGUCGUCAGCUCGUGCCGUGAGGUGUCGGCUUAAGUGCCAUAACGAGCGCAACCCUUGUUGUCAGUUACUAACAGGUUCUGCUGAGGACUCUGACAAGACUGCCAUCGUAAGAUGUGAGGAAGGUGGGGAUGACGUCAAAUCAGCACGGCCCUUACGUCCGGGGCUACACACGUGUUACAAUGGGGGGUACAGAGGGCCGCUACCACGCGAGUGGAUGCCAAUCCCAAAAACCUCUCUCAGUUCGGACUGGAGUCUGCAACCCGACUCCACGAAGCUGGAUUCGCUAGUAAUCGCGCAUCAGCCACGGCGCGGUGAAUACGUUCCCGGGCCUUGUACACACCGCCCGUCAAGCCAUGGGAGCCGGGGGUACCUGAAGUGCGUAACCGCGAGGAGCGCCCUAGGGUAAAACUGGUGACUGGGGCUAAGUCGUAACAAGGUAGCCG
rnacentral:rRNA from 1 species